UUCAUCGUUUAUUUUUUUGCUUUCUUAUGCAUGAGAUAAAACACAAAGAAAGGAGGGGAUAUUACCUUGACAUCGGCGCCGUCGAAGCUCACUUCCUCCUCUGGUAUGAUCGGAGUCGAGGUGGAGAGCAGCUCUUGGGAAGGCAAUGAAACCCUUAGGGUUUUUUUUUAUCUUUUUCUUUUCUUUUUUAUUCUGAAAUAGUCAAUAGAUUAGCAAAUUCUCUGGCUUUUAUGACGCUUGUAAAAUGACGCCGUUUAGAGGCGUGCGACCCGCGCGGUGACCCAACCCGGGGAGGAUCCACGCACUUUUGCUCGUUGGUCUUUUUGCGCAAUCAGUCCUCCUUUG
rnacentral:lncRNA from 1 species